rnacentral:tRNA from 1 species
AUUUAAAUAGCUUAUAUAGAGUAUAAUAUUGAAGAUAUUAAGGAGAUAUAUUUAUCUUUAAAUA